GAUGAACGCUGGCGGCGUGCCUAAUACAUGCAAGUCGAGCGAACGGACGAGAAGCUUGCUUCUCUGAUGUUAGCGGCGGACGGGUGAGUAACACGUGGAUAACCUACCUAUAAGACUGGGAUAACUUCGGGAAACCGGAGCUAAUACCGGAUAAUAUUUUGAACCGCAUGGUUCAAAAGUGAAAGACGGUCUUGCUGUCACUUAUAGAUGGAUCCGCGCUGCAUUAGCUAGUUGGUAAGGUAACGGCUUACCAAGGCAACGAUGCAUAGCCGACCUGAGGGGGUGAUCGGCCACACUGGAACUGGGACACGGUCCAGACUCCUACGGGAGGCAGCAGUAGGGAAUCUUCCGCAAUGGGCGGAAGCCUGACGGAGCAACGCCGCGUGAGUGAUGAAGGUCUUCGGAUCGUAAAACUCUGUUAUUAGGGAAGAACAUAUGUGUAAGUAACUGUGCACAUCUUGACGGUACCUAAUCAGAAAGCCACGGCUAACUACGUG
rnacentral:rRNA from 1 species